UACCAGCUCUCCGAGUGGUAGGGAUGAUUAUUGGGCUUAAAGCGUCCGUAGCCGGCUUAGCAAGUCUCCUGUUAAAUUCAGCGACCUAAUCGUUGAGCCGCGGGAGAUACUACCAGGCUAGGAGGCGGGAGAGGUCAACGGUACUUCCGGGGUAGGGGUGAAAUCCUAUAAUCCCGGGAGGACCACCAGUGGCGAAGGCUGUUGACUAGAACGCGCUCGACGGUGAGGGACGAAAGCUGGGGGAGCGAACCGGAUUAGAUACCCGGGUAGUCCCAGCUGUAAACGAUGCGAGCUAGGUGUUGGGGUGGCUACGUGCCACUUCAGUGCCGCAGGGAAGCCAUUAAGCUCGCCGCCUGGGAGUACGGCCGCAAGGCUGAAACUUAAGGAAUAGGCGGGGAGCACCACAAGGCGUGAAGCUUGCGGUUC
rnacentral:rRNA from 1 species